AUUCUUUGGCGGAAAACAAUCUCCAUCAAAAUAGCUCUGGUCGGGAACUUAAGAAGAUCCAACUUGUCCCAACUAGAACGGACACUACGAGAUUCACCACAAUCCAGGAAUGAACAAUUUCUGCCUCUGUACCUGCAGUCCUGGGAAAGACACAGCAAACCAUCAGCCAUCAUUGGUGCACAGAAGAUACUGCCAUUUUCCGAAGGUGGCGUGUAGAGGUGGAUUCUGUCACAUGUCAUCUGCUGGCUUAAGGAUAAGAUAAGAGCAGCAAAGUACACUGGAACAAAUGGAAUUAGUAGUGUCAGAUAUAAAUCCCAAAAUGCUGUCUCAUCAUGACACGGUACUAAUCACUACAUUUUCUUUCCUUUCACUCCACUGCCUCCAAUCAUAGUCUGUUUUAAUUCACUCUUUUUUCUUUAACAUUCCCCUGACCUAUCAAAAUCUGAUUUCUGCACUUUUGCAAUCCAUGAGCUGCAUCAAAGCUUGCAUUUUGUGAUUCUGUUUUUUUGUUAGGUUUGUGUUCUAUAUUCAGAAAUGGAAAAGAACUACCUCACUAACAAGCCAUUAAUGCUACUAUUGCAAAUGCUUUAAAAAAUAUGGAACUAAGUUUAUGGUCAUUGCUAUUAUCAACUACUGAGCAAGUUAUUAAUUCUACAGCAGAAAAUAACCUGGGAGGAAGAUUUCAGUAAAAAUGGUAUAGA